AUGAAUCCAAGCUACCGUCGUAGAUCAGAAAGUGACUAUGAAUUUAUUCAUUUUGUACUUCCUACUUUAGAAGAUGCAUCACAAUCUUCUUCUAGUAAGAAACCAAUGCAUACAUCAAAACUUUCGGGGGCUUGGCGUGUUCAAGAGAGUUUAACAGGGCAUGAAAGCUUAUGCAAAAGGACUUUCCGCAUGGAAGUGGACAUUUUUCAAGCACUUGUUGACAAGCUGCGUGAGAAAAAACUCCUUGCUGAUUCAAAAGUACUAGCAGUAGAAGAGCAAGUGGCAAUAUUUUUGUAUGCAGUAUCCAAAAAUGCAACAAAUGAAACCCUACAGGAUUGGUUUCAGCAUAGUGCAGAAACAAUAAGCCGGCGAUUUGGAUUAGUGCUUGAUGCGAUCACACGGCUCACAAAUGUCUAUAUACGUCCACCUUCCCUCAACCCACAUCCAAUCUUGAGCAAACCACAAUUUUACCCUUUCUUUCAGAAUUGCAUUGGUGCUAUACACGGAACCCAUAUUCCUAUGUUCCUAUCACCAGGCCAACAAGAACCAUACGGGAACAGGAAGCAAACGCUCUCACAAAAUGUCAUGGUUGCUUGUGACUUCGACUUAAAAUUUGUGCAUGUACAUGCUGGGUGGGAAGGAUCAGCUUCUGAUGCAAGAGUUCUACAAGAUGCACUAAAUCAUGGUUUUCAUGUACCUCAUGGUAACUUUUACCUUGUUGAUGCUGGUUAUGCAAACACACCCCAAUUUCUUGCUCCAUACCGUGGUACUAGGUAUCAUCUAAAAGAACAAGGAGAAGUACGUCAAAGGCCACAAAAUUACAAGGAAUUGUUCAACCUUCGUCAUGCUCAACUUCGGAAUCAUAUAGAGAGAAUUAUCGGCAUACUAAAAAUGAGAUUUCCUAUCCUGAAAGUUGCUGCACAUUAUUCUGUUGAUAAACAAAUUGACAUAUCCGUGGCUUGA
rnacentral:rRNA from 1 species